GCACAACGCGAAGAACCUUACCUAGGCUUGACAUGCAUCUUUAAGCACGUGAAAGCGUGUGACCCUUCGGGGAAUUUGCACAGGUGCUGCAUGGCCGUCGUCAGCUCGUGUCGUGAGAUGUUGGGUUAAGUCCCGCAACGAGCGCAACCCUUGUGACUAGUUGCCAGCACGUCAUGGUGGGAACUCUAGUCAGACUGCCCAGAUUAACUGGGAGGAAGGUGGGGACGACGUCAGGUCAGUAUGGCCCUUACGCCUAGGGCUGCACACGUACUACAAUGCCCAGCACAAUGAGAACCGAGACCGCGAGGUGGAGGAAAUCUAAAAAACUGGGCCCAGUUCGGAUUGGAGGCUGCAACUCGCCUCCAUGAAGUUGGAAUCGCUAGUAAUGGCGCAUCAUCUACGGCGCCGUGAAUACGUUCCCGGGUCUUGUACACACCG
rnacentral:rRNA from 1 species